AGUGAACGCUGGCGGUAGGCCUAAUACAUGCAAGUCGAACGGAAGCACAGUAAGAUUUUGCUCUUACGGGUGGCGAGUGGCGGACGGGUGAGGAAUACAUCGGCAUCCACUUUUUCUGGGGUGAUUACGUAGGGCAGCUUACGCUAAUACCUCAUAUGUUCUACGGCUGAAAUCAGUAGUUCUUCGGACUUUUCGCGACUCAAUUAGCCGAAGUCGGAUUAGCUAGUUGGCGUGGUAAAGGCCCACCAAGGCGACGAUGCGUAGCUGGCCUGAGAGGAUGAUCGGCCACACUGGAACUGAGACACGGUCCAGACUCCUACGGGAGGCAGCAGUGGGGAAUAUUGGACAAUGGGCGAAAGCCUGAUGCAGCCAUACCGCGUGAGUGAAGAAGGCCUUCGGGUUGUAAAGCCCUUUUAUUGGGGAAGAAAAGCAGCGUAUGAAUCCACGGCUGUUUUGACGGUACCCAAAGAGAAAGCAACGGCUAACUUCGUG
rnacentral:rRNA from 1 species